GUAAUCUGUGGUGAAAGUGCUCUGUGUACUUGAGUGGCAGCUCAAGACCCGGGCACCUGUUUUAACUUUUUCCAGUGGGAUUUCAGUGAAGCACAAACCUUGCAGUCCUGCUCUGCACAGGAAUAAAUUUAUCUCUUUUUCUUUUUUUCCCCCUGUAGGAGUAACUCGAUGACUUCAGUGGGAAUUGCUCAUAAACAAGAAAGAGACAGGGUCAUCUGGACUCUUCUGAAGGCAAGAGUCAGGGCCUGAAGUCUCCAUGAAUGACCUACCCAAGGCACAAGAAGAGGAUCUCACCUGCUGCCUCUUCUCCAGAGACUCCAUCCUGCCUCGAGCUUCAGCCGAGUGUUGGUGACAGAUUGAGAGAGAAGGAAUAAACCACAACACUAUGUUUUAAAGCAACCCAGUGGAACAGAGGGUAUGUAUAUUUGUUUUCCGUGGUUCUCUUUAAUUAUCUUACAAUUUCUGCGUCACAUCUACUUUGACUGGGUUUAAAGGCAGGUUGCAGAUUCAUAUA
rnacentral:lncRNA from 1 species